rnacentral:lncRNA from 1 species
GGUAUGUCCCCUACCAUUGGCAUGUUGGAUGAGCAAAAAUGUUGUUAUUGGUUAGAGACUGGUAUGUCCCCUACCAUUGGCAUGUUGAAUAAGCAAAAAUGUUGUUAUUGGUUAGAGACUGGUAUGUCCCCUACCAUUGGCAUGUUGGAUGAGAAAAAAUGUUGUUAAUGGUUAGAGACUGGUAUGUCCCGUACCAAAAACAUGUUGAAUGAGCAAAAAUGGUGUUAUUGGUUAGAGACUGGUAUGUCCCCUACCAUUGGUUUGUUGGAUGAGCAAAAAUAGUGUUAUUGGUUAGAGACUGGUAUGUCCUCUACCAUUGGCAUGUUUGAUGAGCAAAAAUUGUGUUAUUGGUUUAAGGCUGACAUGUUGGAUGAGCAAAAAUGUUGUUAUUGGUUAGAGACUGGUAUGUCCCCUAACAUUGGCAUGUAGGAUGAACAAAAAUUGUGUUAUUGGUUAGAGACUGGUAUGUCCCCUACCAUAGGCAUGUUGGAUGAGCAAAAAUGUUUUUGUCAGUUAGAGACUGGUAUGUCCCCUACCACUGGAAUGUUGGAUGAGCAAAAAUGUUGCAAUGGGUUAGAGACUGGCAUGUCCUCUACCACAGGCAUGUUGGAUGAGCAAAAAUGUUGUUAUUGGUUAGAGACUGGUAUGUCCCCUACCACAGGCAUGUUGAAUGAGCAAAAAUGGUGUUAUUGGU